AUACGCAGGACGUCCUCUAAUGCCACUUCCGUGGGUGCUAGGUUAGAAGCUGGGGCGGUGCUGACCUUGAGAGCGCGCGAGGGAGGCGCAGGCGCAGCACAGGCUGACCGUCCUUGGAGACUUGCCGGAUCUCCACAGACCUGUCUGUCCCUCUAUCGUCUCUUUUACCUGCUUUAGUGCAUACUAAAGCUCUCCCUUCCUCAAGGCGGUGGAAUUUGAUCCUGAGACGUUUCUUCACUAUUCAUAUAUAUAUACCAGUGGAAACCAGAAGAACAUCUACCAAGAUCAGAGAAACGAAGAGAAUUCUGCCUGUUGGAAAAUAUUCCAAUAUACACUUUGGUUCUUACAUCCGUCCUAAACCUGGCAGCCUCAUUGAGGUUCACAAAGCAUCUCCUCCUAUGUGACAGUAAGACUGGAAUUAUUAUCAGGAUGGAACCCACUCCUGCCAGAGUAAAACCACGAAAGGAAAUCACAGUAUUCUGCUUAUCAUUUUUAAUAGAUCAUGGAGUUCUUUGUUCCUUAUUUGGUAUUUGACAAGUUGAUAAAUAACCCUUGGUUAAUAUCCUUUAAUAUUCCAAUUUCUAUUACAAUGUGAAAAAUCUGUUACAAGUAACAUUUUUUUAAAGCGCAUACCAUAUAUGUUUGAAGGCAGCAUCUCCCCUUUUUAUCCCACAGAAUUGUAAUAUUUUGUAUUGUUUCCAUGUGUUGAAGUUGAGAGAUUUACCUAUUUCCAUUCCUUAAAGUAGAUGAGAGUCUUUGACAGAGAUUCAAAGAAAGGGGGAAAUUAUGAAAGGGAAUAAAAUAUGUGCAUAAUGGAGAUUAGGAAGAAAUUCAGUAGUCUUGCAAGGGAAUUAGGAGUCCAAUCUUUGAUAAAAGUAUUGUUGCUAAUUAGGGCUUUGUUUUGAGUUGCAAUGUUCUGAGUGAGAACUGUUCUCAAAUACUUUAGAACACCAGCAAAAAGUUAUGUCUUCUUUCAACACCCACACUGACCUGGAACAUUUUCAACCAUUAACACUGUUAAUUAAUUAAUCACUGUUUCAAAGGCCAGCUCUAUAUUCUUUGCAAAAUGUUUUCCUGAUUAACUCCCCUUCUGAGAAAUUUCAAUUACUUUUUCUUUUCUUUAAUAAAUAUGAUUAUUAUGUGCUUA